rnacentral:rRNA from 1 species
GCCGUAGCUAACGCAUUAAGUGCCCCGCCUGGGGAGUACGGCCGCAAGGCUAAAACUCAAAGGAAUUGACGGGGGCCCGCACAAGCGGCGGAGCAUGCGGAUUAAUUCGAUGCAACGCGAAGAACCUUACCAAGGCUUGACAUGAACCGGUAAUACCUGGAAACAGGUGCCCCGCUUGCGGUCGGUUUACAGGUGGUGCAUGGUUGUCGUCAGCUCGUGUCGUGAGAUGUUGGGUUAAGUCCCGCAACGAGCGCAACCCUCGUUCUAUGUUGCCAGCGCGUUAUGGCGGGGACUCAUAGGAGACUGCCGGGGUCAACUCGGAGGAAGGUGGGGACGACGUCAAAUCAUCAUGCCCCUUAUGUCUUGGGCUUCACGCAUGCUACAAUGGCCGGUACAAAGGGUUGCGAUACUGUGAGGUGGAGCUAAUCCCAAAAAGCCGGUCUCAGUUCGGAUUGGGGUCUGCAACUCGACCCCAUGAAGUCGGAGUCGCUAGUAAUCGCAGAUCAGCAACGCUGCGGUGAAUACGUUCCCGGGCCUUGUACACACCGCCCGUCAAGUCACGAAAGUUGGUAACACCCGAAGCCGGUGGCCUAACCCUUGUGGGGGGAGCCGUCGAAGGUGGGACCGGCGAUUGGGANUAAGUCGUAACAAGGUAGCCGUACCGGAAGGUGCGGCUNGAUCNCCUCCU